rnacentral:rRNA from 1 species
GAAAGAUUCAUCGGAAGAGGAUGGGCAUGCGGCGCAUUAGCUAGACGGCGGGGUAACGGCCCACCGUGGCGACGAUGCGUAGGGGUUCUGAGAGGAAGGUCCCCCACACUGGUACUGAGACACGGACCAGACUCCUACGGGAGGCAGCAGUGAGGAAUAUUGGUCAAUGGGAGAGAUCCUGAACCAGCCAAGCCGCGUGAGGGAAGACGGCCCUAUGGGUUGUAAACCUCUUUUGUCGGAGAACAAAACCCGGGACGAGUCCCGGACUGCGUGUAUCCGAAGAAAAAGCAUCGGCUAACUCCGUGCCAGCAGCCGCGGUAAUACGGAGGAUGCGAGCGUUAUCCGGAUUUAUUGGGUUUAAAGGGUGCGUAGGCGGUCCGUUAAGCCAGCGGUAAAAUUGCGGGGCUCAACCCCGUCGAGCCGUUGAAACUGGCAGACUUGAGUUGGCGAGAAGUACGCGGAAUGCGCGGUGUAGCGGUGAAAUGCAUAGAUAUCGCGCAGAACUCCGAUUGCGAAGGCAGCGUACCGGCGCCACACUGACGCUGAGGCACGAAAGCGUGGGGAUCGAACAGGAUUAGAUACCCUGGUAGUCCACGCAGUAAACGAUGAAUGCUGGUUGUCCGGGUCGAAUGAGAUCUGGGCGGCGA